AGUGAACGCUGGCGGUAGGCCUAACACAUGCAAGUCGAACGGCAGCACAGUAAGAGCUUGCUCUUACGGGUGGCGAGUGGCGGACGAGUGAGGAAUACAUCGGAAUCUACUUUUUCGUGGGGGAUAACGUAGGGAAACUUACGCUAAUACCGCAUACGACCUACGGGUGAAAGCAGGGGAUCUUCGGACCUUGCGCGAUUGAAUGAGCCGAUGUCGGAUUAGCUAGUUGGCGGGGUAAAGGCCCACCAAGGCGACGAUCCGUAGCUGGUCUGAGAGGAUGAUCAGCCACACUGGGACUGAGACACGGUCCAGACUCCUACGGGAGGCAGCAGUGGGGAAUAUUGGACAAUGGGCGCAAGCCUGAUCCAGCCAUACCGCGUGGGUGAAGAAGGCCUUCGGGUUGUAAAGCCCUUUUGUUGGGAAAGAAAAGCAGCAGGUUAAUACCCCGCUGUUCUGACGGUACCCAAAGAAUAAGCACCGGCUAACUUCGUG
rnacentral:rRNA from 1 species